rnacentral:rRNA from 1 species
UACAGAGGGUGCAAGCGUUAAUCGGAAUUACUGGGCGUAAAGCGUGCGUAGACGGUAGCGUAAGUCGGGUGUGAAAGCCCUGGGCUCAACCUGGGAAUUGCAGUGGAUACUGGCAAGCUAGAGUGCGGUAGAGGAUGGUGGAAUUCCCGGUGUAGCGGUGAAAUGCGUAGAGAUCGGGAGGAACACCUGUGGCGAAGGCGGCCCCCUGGGCCGGCCCUGACACUGAGACGCGAAGGCGUGGGGAGCGAACGGG